GACGAACGCUGGCGGCGUGCUUAACACAUGCAAGUCGAACGAAGAGCGAUGGAAGCUUGCUUCUAUCAAUCUUAGUGGCGAACGGGUGAGUAACGCGUAAUCAACCUGCCCUUCAGAGGGGGACAACAGUUGGAAACGACUGCUAAUACCGCAUACGAUCUAAUCUCGGCAUCGAGGAUAGAUGAAAGGUGGCCUCUACAUGUAAGCUAUCACUGAAGGAGGGGAUUGCGUCUGAUUAGCUAGUUGGAGGGGUAACGGCCCACCAAGGCGAUGAUCAGUAGCCGGUCUGAGAGGAUGAACGGCCACAUUGGGACUGAGACACGGCCCAGACUCCUACGGGAGGCAGCAGUGGGGAAUCUUCCGCAAUGGACGAAAGUCUGACGGAGCAACGCCGCGUGAGUGAUGACGGCCUUCGGGUUGUAAAGCUCUGUUAAUCGGGACGAAAGGCCUUCUUGCGAAUAGUGAGAAGGAUUGACG
rnacentral:rRNA from 1 species